UACGUAGGGUGCGAGCGUUGUCCGGAAUUAUUGGGCGUAAAGAGCUCGUAGGCGGUCUGUCGCGUCGAUCGUGAAAACCCGCGGCUCAACUGCGGGCCUGCAGCCGAUACGGGCAGGCUAGAGUUCGGUAGGGGAGACUGGAAUUCCUGGUGUAGCGGUGAAAUGCGCAGAUAUCAGGAGGAACACCGGUGGCGAAGGCGGGUCUCUGGGCCGAUACUGACGCUGAGGAGCGAAAGCGUGGGGAGCGAACAGG
rnacentral:rRNA from 1 species